rnacentral:misc_RNA from 1 species
AAGUCGUAACAAGGUAACCGUAGGUGAACCUGCGGUUGGAUCAUUAAAAAGAUCUAGCCCGAAGUGGGACUGAGAGGUCGGAUCGAGGUAUCCGCGACACUGUCGUGGGUGUUUCGCCGAUCACUCUAACCCAUGCCGGGUUUUCUCACCUCAAAAGUGAGUCAACAUUAUGUGAACUGUAUUGUCUCUGGCGGUUGGGUUGAGGUGGACAGCUCCUUAGUGGGCUCGUCGCCUCCACUUGUCAUCCUGGGCACUGCCCAGGCCGUGGACAAGCCGCCAACCAUGCUAUUCAAUCACCUAAGUGAAUCUGAGUGUCCUUGUCUAACAUUGUCUCGUACAUGAAAUAAUAAUUCAUACAACUUUUGGCAACGGAUCUCUUGGCUCUC